ACGAACGCUGGCGGCGUGGAUAAGACAUGCAAGUCGAACGAGAGAAUUGCUAGCUUGCUAAUAAUUCUCUAGUGGCGCACGGGUGAGUAACACGUGAGUAACCUGCCCCCGAGAGCGGGAUAGCCCUGGGAAACUGGGAUUAAUACCGCAUAGUAUCGAAAGAUUAAAGCAGCAAUGCGCUUGGGGAUGGGCUCGCGGCCUAUUAGUUAGUUGGUGAGGUAACGGCUCACCAAGGCGAUGACGGGUAGCCGGUCUGAGAGGAUGUCCGGCCACACUGGAACUGAGACACGGUCCAGACACCUACGGGUGGCAGCAGUCGAGAAUCAUUCACAAUGGGGGAAACCCUGAUGGUGCGACGCCGCGUGGGGGAAUGAAGGUCUUCGGAUUGUAAACCCCUGUCAUGUGGGAGCAAAUUAAAAAGAUAGUACCACAAGAGGAAGAGACGGCUAACUCUGUGCCAGCAGCCGCGGUAAUACAGAGGUCUCAAGCGUUGUUCGGAAUCACUGGGCGUAAAGCGUGCGUAGGCUGUUUCGUAAGUCGUGUGUGAAAGGCGCGGGCUCAACCCGCGGACGGCACAUGAUACUGCGAGACUAGAGUAAUGGAGGGGGAACCGGAAUUCUCGGUGUAGCAGUGAAAUGCGUAGAUAUCGAGAGGAACACUCGUGGCGAAGGCGGGUUCCUGGACAUUAACUGACGCUGAGGCACGAAGGCCAGGGGAGCGAAAGGGAUUAGAUACCCCUGUAGUCCUGGCAGUAAACGGUGCACGCUUGGUGUGCGGGGAAUCGACCCCCUGCGUGCCGGAGCUAACGCGUUAAGCGUGCCGCCUGGGGAGUACGGUCGCAAGAUUAAAACUCAAAGAAAUUGACGGGGACCCGCACAAGCGGUGGAGUAUGUGGCUUAAUUCGAUGCAACGCGAAGAACCUUACCUGGGCUUGACAUGUAAUGAACAACAUGUGAAAGCAUGCGACUCUUCGGAGGCGUUACACAGGUGCUGCAUGGCCGUCGUCAGCUCGUGUCGUGAGAUGUUUGGUUAAGUCCAGCAACGAGCGCAACCCCUGUUGCCAGUUACCAGCACGUGAAGGUGGGGACUCUGGCGAGACUGCCCAGAUCAACUGGGAGGAAGGUGGGGACGACGUCAGGUCAGUAUGGCCCUUAUGCCCAGGGCUGCACACGUACUACAAUGCCCAGUACAGAGGGGGCCGAAGCCGCGAGGCGGAGGAAAUCCUAAAAACUGGGCCCAGUUCGGACUGUAGACUGCAACCCGCCUACACGAAGCCGGAAUCGCUAGUAAUGGCGCAUCAGCUACGGCGCCGUGAAUACGUUCCCGGGUCUUGUACACACCGCCCGUCACAUCAUGGAAGCCGGUCGCACCCGAAGUAUCUGAAGCCAACCGCAAGGAGGCAGGGUCCUAAGGUGAGACUGGUAACUGGGAUG
rnacentral:rRNA from 1 species